rnacentral:rRNA from 1 species
UACGUAGGGUGCAAGCGUUGUCCGGAUUUAUUGGGCGUAAAGCGCUCGCAGGUGGUCCGAUGCGUCGUGCGUGAAAGCCCCCGGCUCAACUGGGGAGUGUCGUGCGAUACGGUCGGACUGGAGGCCAGUAGGGGGAUGCGGAAUUCCGGGUGUAGUGGUGGAAUGCGUAGAGAUCCGGAGGAACACCAGCGGCGAAGGCGGCAUCCUGGACCGGCAUUGACGCUGAGGCG